GAAGAGUCAGAAGCUGAGGAGUCUCUCUCCCACUUUUAUACUCCAACCUCACCAUCCUUUGGCUCACAACCAGUUCAAACUGGGCAACCUACUUAAAGUAUACGAAAAUGACCAACUGAAAGAUGCAAGGCUGAAGUGACCAACUGAAUGAUGCAACUGAAAGACACAAGGCUAGAUGCGAUCUUCUACGUUGGAAAGCAAUAAAACAAACACACAGCUUC